UUGUGUUUAGCUCAGCUUGGAAGAGCAGCGGUUUGAUAUCGCCGUGGGUCAUUGGUUCGAUUCCAGUAAUACAAU
rnacentral:tRNA from 1 species